UCUGCCACUUCCUCCCUCCCUCCCUCUCUCCCUCCCUUCCUCCCUCCCUUCUCUUAUGUCUUUCUUUCUCUCCUUCUUUCUCUUUUCUCAUUUCUUCCUUCUAUCCCUUUCUCUCUGUCAUUUUUUCUCCACCAUUUUUUCUCCCUAUUUCACUCACUAUUUUUACUUUCUUGCCCUACUCCCUUGACUCUACACUCUACUGCAGCUUAGUAGUUCAUUGAGUUAGUUUGAAGAAUAUGCAUGAUUUGUCCCAUGAGUUCCUUCAAUAAUCAUUUUUGCUGUCUGCCUCUACAAAAGACGGAUCUGUGCUCUCUGACCAGAUGGAAAUAGUCUUGGGAACUGACCUUGUGUAUGUAAAUAGAGAAGGUGAAUAUGGUUAAAAGGAUGCAUACAUUUUCACUUAAAAUGGUCUUAAGAAGUGGAUGUUCUACAGUGGUUGUCUUGUGACCCGCAGAUACUGAGAUGUUCUUCAGCAUGCCCACUGUCUGUCAUCUCCCCACUUCAAAGGUGGACUCUGCUUUUGCUGACCAUGUAACCUCCCAUACUGUAUGCACCUGGAUAAGGGAAGAUCAUGUGCUCAUAUCAUAAUAUCUGAGACAACAUCUGCAUUGCAUGUGAUACUGCUCUUUUGCAUUUUAUCGACAAAAGCUAAAGGAGAACCAAAAUGCAAAAAGGGAAAGGAAGCACACAUCUCCAGACUUAAGGGAAUAGUGUUCAUCGUGUCAUACACAAGCAAUCAAGCACUCAGUACAAUGAAGAGGAAGUUGGUGGAAGACCACACUCCCCAUCAAGGAGCAUACAUGUUUUGAUAACAUAGGUCUGUGAUAAACUUAGAGGGACCCCACUGAACACGCUUGAGAUUCUUGGCCUUCCAAGUGAAAUAUUAAAGUACAGUGAUAAACCACUCCUGGGUGAAUCCCUGAAGCACAGAUGGAGACAGCAGCUCUGGUGAUCUUCUAGCAUGGACUGAGUUCUGCAGUGCCUGCAUUGUAUUUUUGUGCUUCUUCACAGGUGCUUGGUAUCUAAUGGUUGUCAAGGUAACAAAGAUACAUUUACUCCUUGCAUUUAAUUUGUGGUUUUGUGGUUGUUUCUGUGUUCUGCUUGACACUGGGAAGAGUCUCAAACCCCUUUUCCUGCUAUGAGGUAAAGUAUUCCCCCAGAAGAUAUAUCCAUGAGGAAUCUUCAGAAUGACGUUUUUUGAUAGGCUGUUAAUAAAUACAGUUUACACCAGAGAUGCAUGUCUUUAGGUCGAUUUCAUUCCAAUUAACUUAGACAUCUGAAACUAAGUCUGUGUUGUAGUUAACAAAACUCCAUUCAUAUUAAUGGAAAGAAACAGACCUUUAAGAGGUUGUGAUAAUCCAUUUUCAGAGAGACACUUGAGUCAUCUUUACCUAGUGCCUGUAUUGAUACUUUAACCAAGAGCGAGCGUAAACCAGAUAAUUAUCCUUUGGUUCUCUACAGGUAUUGAGGUAAAAACCUAUAUUAGAUGUUUAGCCAUCUGAACAAGUGUCCUUGUUUGUCUUACUGUUUAUCUUGGUAUCAAUAAGUACUUAAUUAUUUUUGAUGAUGUGUAACUGAUUCACAGAAAUCUAUUCAGAAGAAAAGAGCAGUUCAGAACAAAACCCCUUGCAUUACCUCCUUGCAGGUGGAUAAGAACUCUCUUGAAAAAAAAAAGGGAUUUGGGGUUUUUUGCAGAUGGUAUUUAUCUGUCAUUUUGAUGUAUCUUGAGGAAAAAACAUGAACUUGGACAUUUAUGUAAUACACAAACCUGACAUUUUUUAGGUUAGUGGGUUUUUUUCUGUAUGUCUGCAGGUUCUAGGUGAAUAGAUUUCAAGCUCUUGUGGAAAGGGUCUGUGGGCCUUUAGUAUGGUUGAGUUACAUAGGUUUAGGUAUUGCCAGAGAACAAAUGAAUAACUCUAGUUAUGGGCCCUGUACCGCACUUCCAAGGAUAUUAUAUGAAGAACUAUUGUUCCCCCUAGCACCUUAAGCUUUCCUAUUCUGAGAAACCCAUAAAUUUUAAGGUUUUAGUACAUUUUAGUACAGAAAUACAUGUAGCAGAUAAUUAUAUACUAUUUGUCAAGAAUUUCCACUCUGAAGCUGCACUAUUAGGACAGCAUGUUUUCAUUUGGUUUAACCGCAUCACUGCUACUACAAAAGGUCAGAAUAGAGCAAAGCAUCUCUUCUAUUCCUGCACAUUCCUGACAUAUUUGUCCAUUAAAAAGCCAGCAUGCAGGAGAAUGCUCUUUUUGUGUUAUGGAACAGACUUGCUAAAUUACAAAGAUUACAGCUAGUGAAAAUGUAAUAUUUUCUCUAGAACAUCUCCAUGUACAUGGAUUCCUACUCUUUAAUUUGAUAAAGUAAUGAAAGAGUUAAAGGUCUUAAUUAGGGUUUUUUUGUUGUUGUUGUUUUUUUGUAGGAUUUUUGUGAUACAGCAACAUCUAUUUUCUAGAUUUUUGCUGUUUGGAUUGUAUUUUCAAUCUUCAUUAAAAAUAUAACCCCCAAUUUUAGUUUGGUCAUAUUCAACAUAUUUAAUACAUGUAGGCAUCAAUAGUUAGUUGUGAAAAGUACAAUAAAAUGAGAAAGUACUAUACAAUUAUAAAAGGCAAUGAAAGCUAGAAGAGCUUUUUAAAAUUCCAGAGAAUAGUAUAUCCAGCAUUUCGGUACUAAUUACAUUUUUUCUGGCUUCACAUUUUAGAUCUUCACAGCAUGUAUAUGUACAGACUGCAGUUCUGCAAUGUUUGUGACAUGUUAUAACCUUGUAUGACAUCUCUUUCUUUCCCAGCAUCUGUCUUAGAAUAACUUAAUGAAAAGCUUACAGAUGACACAGCCCCAGAUAUUUUAUAAAAUUACAUUCAGAACCAGGUCAAGAUGUCUUGGAAUACAAAGCCCAUCACAUUUCUAAGGUUAUAUAUAUAUUUAUAUAUACACACACACACACACACACACAUAUAUCCAACUGUUAUUCAGCAUAUGGGAUGAUUUUCAUAAGCCCGAAGACAUCCCAAACUUUUAUGUGGAGAUGGCUGAUUGAACGUGGUGUAAAUAAUUUACAGCCUCUGGAACCAUAAAUGGAGGCUGCUCAAGAGAACAUGCAGCAUUGGAAAUCUAUUUUUUACAUCCCACUGCCCCCCUUUGUGCCUUCUCCAGUGCUCUGAUUUGGGUCUUCUUUUGUUUUUGAUGCAUAUUACUUCCUUGAAGCAUCAUUAUUUCAGAUGAGAAAAUAACUAUAUUUGAGGAAAAUUUUAUCUCACCUCAGAGGAAAGAAAUAAUUUACAUGCACAUUCUGGAGCUGUAAUACAAGGGAGAAUCUAGCACUGUCGGUGAGUAAAGACUGCCCUACAAAAAGAGGUUUCAACUUCAGAUGUCUGUUUGCAUUAGGAGACAGCUUGAGUUCUUUUGGAAACGCCAGUAACUUUAGAUAAUGUGGCUAAGGGUAUAUGGUUUCAGCUUCACAGGAAUUUAUAAUUUUCUCUUUGAUUUUAUAUGUACUUGGAAUAUUGUGAACGUCUAUGCCUGGUUUUAUUGAAGAUUGUCUCUGGAGUUACUGGCUUCAUUGUAUAAUUUUAACUUUAUUUUCUGGUUAGUAUAAAAACAUGAAAAAGACUUUUUAUUAUUUCUUUAUGUAAAGCCGUGUUCAUUAUCAGAGUAGCUAGAAUUUACAGACAAAUAUGAAGUACAAUUUCAAUAAAGAAUUUUUAUUGCUUUUUCCUUUGCCAAAUGGUUGUAGUUGAACAAAAUACAUGCAGCAUAUGAAAUACACUCCUCAAUAAUGUUAGACUUCAAACUACCUCAUGAUUUGGAGAACAAAUCCCAGCACAAAACUGCUUAAUAGAAGGAAAACCAGAUCUUUCUUUUGAUAUUUUAGCAAUCAUAUAUUGAAAAUAUGCUCUUUGCACCUUAUCAAAUCAAUCAUUCUGGGGCUUACAGUGAUGAUAAAAAGGAAGGAAUUUAAACAUUGUUAAAGAGUGAAUGUAAAGCACAUAGCUUGCCUUGCAUAAAUAUUAUGAGAGAGAAUACUGUUUUCUCUGUAAUAAUAGCACAUCUUGAAAAAUGGCUUCAAAAAUUAUCUAGGUCUUUUUUACUAACCAUUUCCUUCAAGCAGAUGCAUUUUAAGUAGUUUACUUGGUUAGACUUGUCACAGAGUUUU